rnacentral:rRNA from 1 species
AAUGGGGGAAACCCUGAUGCAGCGACGCCGCGUGAGGGAAGACGGUUUUCGGAUUGUAAACCUCUGUCUUCAGGGACGAAACAAAUGACGGUACCUGAGGAGGAAGCCACGGCUAACUACGUGCCAGCAGCCGCGGUAAUACGUAGGUGGCAAGCGUUGUCCGGAAUUACUGGGUGUAAAGGGAGCGUAGGCGGGAAUGCAAGUUGAAUGUUUAAACUAUCGGCUCAACUGAUAAUCGCGUUCAAAACUGCAUUUCUUGAGUGGAGUAGAGGCAGGCGGAAUUCCUAGUGUAGCGGUGAAAUGCGUAGAUAUUAGGAGGAACACCAGUGGCGAAGGCGGCCUGCUGGGCUCUAACUGACGCUGAGGCUCGAAAGCGUGGGUAGCAAA